rnacentral:rRNA from 2 species
UCUAUACAUGCAGUCGACGAACUCUGGUAUUGAUUGGUGCUUGCAUCAUGUUUACAUUUGAGUGAGUGGCGAACUGGUGAGUAACACGUGGGAAACCUGCCCAGAAGCGGGGGAUAACACCUGGAAACAGAUGCUAAUACCGCAUAACAACUUGGACCGCAUGGUCCGAGUUUGAAAGAUGGCUUCGGCUAUCACUUUUGGAUGGUCCCGCGGCGUAUUAGCUAGAUGGUGGGGUAACGGCUCACCAUGGCAAUGAUACGUAGCCGACCUGAGAGGGUAAUCGGCCACAUUGGGACUGAGACACGGCCCAAACUCCUACGGGAGGCAGCAGUAGGGAAUCUUCCACAAUGGACGAAAGUCUGAUGGAGCAACGCCGCGUGAGUGAAGAAGGGUUUCGGCUCGUAAAACUCUGUUGUUAAAGAAGAACAUAUCUGAGAGUAACUGUUCAGGUAUUGACGGUAUUUAACCAGAAAGCCACGGCUAACUACGUGCCAGCAGCCGCGGUAAUACGUAGGUGGCAAGCGUUGUCCGGAUUUAUUGGGCGUAAAGCGAGCGCAGGCGGUUUUUUAAGUCUGAUGUGAAAGCCUUCGGCUCAACCGAAGAAGUGCAUCGGAAACUGGGAAACUUGAGUGCAGAAGAGGACAGUGGAACUCCAUGUGUAGCGGUGAAAUGCGUAGAUAUAUGGAAGAACACCAGUGGCGAAGGCGGCUGUCUGGUCUGUAACUGACGCUGAGGCUCGAAAGUAUGGGUAGCAAACAGGAUUAGAUACCCUGGUAGUCCAUACCGUAAACGAUGAAUGCUAAGUGUUGGAGGGUUUCCGCCCUUCAGUGCUGCAGCUAACGCAUUAAGCAUUCCGCCUGGGGAGUACGGCCGCAAGGCUGAAACUCAAAGGAAUUGACGGGGGCCCGCACAAGCGGUGGAGCAUGUGGUUUAAUUCGA